AAGUAUCUUGUAAUCACAUGAAAAUUUCCCGACAUAGUGAUUUUGUAAUUACGACCAAAAGAAAAAUGUUUUCAUUUUUAAAUUCAAAUUUCGAGAGGUGGAACACUGAGUUCAGGUGUCAAAAUUGAAAGAUGGAGACCUAUUGCUUUUAUAUUUGAGGAUACUUGUUGUCAGUUUUCCAUGAAAUUACAUUUCUUUGUUCUAAUUGACAUUUCAAUUUGUUUUCAGACUCAGGAAAACCAAAUAUAUAUCCGCACACAAUGAAUACCUGCCUCAUCUCCAUUUUUGUCGCUCUUACAAUCAGCGCAUGCUUAGUGCAGUCCAUGCCCAUGUUUCCGGUUGUUGAAUUAGCAUCAAUGCACCCGAGAGACGCAUGCUUAUUCAUCUGUAGUAUCUGUUUCCACAGUCAGGAGGACUCCAUGCUGAAGUGUGCAAACAAUUACUGUUUGUCCGACUAUCUCCACCACGGCUUCGGGUACCUGUGGAUCGGAAAAGAAUGCGCCCACUGGCCCGCUUUGAAGAAAUUCGUUGCCGCCGACAACGUAUUCAAGAACUAAGACUAUUGUGUUAAAUGUCUCAUGUUCAUUUUUAAUCAUGUCAUGUUAUUUAAUCAUCACAGUGCAAUUCAGCUAUCAAGUAUAAUUUCAUUUAAUUGAAUUAAUAAAACAAAUAAAAACCACAAAAACAUGCAGAUAUGCUAAUAUACAUCUUUUUAUUAAAUUAAAUUUUGUGUUCAAAA